UGUUCUGAAUCUGUCUACUGUAGUACCCAUGUAGGCACCCAGAGCUGGGUAAACAGAAAACAGUAGGAAAGGUGGGUAAGGGCAGCUUCUGAUUGCUCAUUAUUACUCAGAAGCUCUUUUAAUUUGUGCCAGUAACAGGGACAUCAAUUACAAAUUCUCAUUUGGCCGUGCAGUUUACAUGCAAACAAAACUGAAGCAAACACAUCACUAAGUAGUUCUGAUUGUUAUUUUGACACGUGAAAUAGAAUAGUUCCAGAUCUUUGAGGAAGAAUUCUAAAUGUUACUCAGGGUUGGAGUCCAGACAAGUUAGGUUCUUGAGCGCACCUCCAUUGUAGAUCCUGGAAGACCAGGAAACUUAGCUGUGACUCCCCAUUUGGGCCUCAGUCUCCUAAUUUAUAAUAUGUGUGGGCCUCAAGACCUUUUGAGGAACGAUAAAUUAUAUUAACGAAUUCAGAGAGAAAAAUCAGCAUUAAGAAAUAUCCAUAGUCUAACAGAGGAAGCUUUUAGCAAUGGAAGACAUGUCUUACUUACGAUGGUUGAAGGAAAAAAAAGCUGGUGCAGAUUGAGAAUUCUAGCAGUUUGGGAGAAGUUAAACCCUCUCAACAGGGAACACUCUGCAUUUAAAGGAUCCUGUAAACUGCAGCACCAGGAAAACUAUAGUCCAAGUCUUCAUUCUUCAGCUUGCAGUCACGUCAUCACCAUAUGCUGUACACUAGAGUAUUUAUGGCUUGAAUCACACAUGGAGCCAGUCUUAUCUCAGGCAACCAUGCUGUCUGCAUCAAUUUAAGAUAAAACUGUGCUAAUGACAGGAGGGCAUGUUUAAAUGUACGUUUCCAUGUACGGGAUAAAAUACUUGGUCAAAUGAAGCUUGGUCAAAUGAAGCUUCAUGCUACUUCUC